GAGGAGCUUGCUUCUCUGGAUGAGUUGCGAACGGGUGAGUAACGCGUAGGUAACCUGCCUGGUAGCGGGGGAUAACUAUUGGAAACGAUAGCUAAUACCGCAUAACAUUGACCAUUGCAUGAUAGUCAGUUAAAAGGCGCAAUUGCAUCACUACCAGAUGGACCUGCGUUGUAUUAGCUAGUUGGUGGGGUAACGGCUCACCAAGGCGACGAUACAUAGCCGACCUGAGAGGGUGAUCGGCCACACUGGGACUGAGACACGGCCCAGACUCCUACGGGAGGCAGCAGUAGGGAAUCUUCGGCAAUGGACGGAAGUCUGACCGAGCAACGCCGCGUGAGUGAAGAAGGUUUUCGGAUCGUAAAGCUCUGUUGUAAGAGAAGAACGAGUGUGAGAGUGGAAAGUUCACACUGUGACGGCAUCUUACCAGAAAGGGACGGCUAACUACGUGCCAGCCGCCGCGGUAAUACA
rnacentral:rRNA from 1 species